CAAUAGCGUAUAUUAAAGUUGUUGCAGUUAAAAAGCUCGUAGUUGGAUUUCGGGACGGGCCAGUUGGUCCGCCGCAAGGUGUGUUACUGACUGGUCUGUUCUUCUUCGCAAAGACUUCGUAUGCUCUUCGUUGAGUGUGCGUAGGAUUUACGACGUUUACUUUGAAAAAAUUAGAGUGUUCAAAGCAGGCUAUCGCUUGAAUACAUGAGCAUGGAAUAAUGGAAUAGGACUUUGGUCCUAUUUUGUUGGUUUCUAGGACCGAAGUAAUGAUUAAGAGGGACAAUUGGGGGCAUCCGUAUUUCGUUGUCAGAGGUGAAAUUCUUGGAUUUACGAAAGACGAACAACUGCGAAAGCACUUGCCAAGAGUGUUUNCAUUA
rnacentral:rRNA from 1 species